CCUACGGGAGGCAGCAGUAGGGAAUUUUCCKCAAUGGGMGAMAGCCUGACGGAGCAAUACCGCGUGAGGGAUGACGGCCUGUGGGUUGUAAACCUCUUUUCUCAAGGAAGAAGUUCUGACGGUACUUGAGGAAUAAGCAUCGGCUAACUCUGUGCCAGCAGCCGCGGUAAUACAGAGGAUGCAAGCGUUAUCCGGAAUCACUGGGCAUAAAGCGUCUGUAGGUGGUUUGGUAAGUCUGCUGUUAAAGACUGGGGCUCAACCCCAGAAAAGCAGUGGAAACUGCUAGACUUGAGUGUGGUAGAGGUAGAGGGAAUUCCUAGUGUAGCGGUGAAAUGCGUAGAUAUUAGGAAGAACACCAAUGGCGAAGGCACUCUACUGGGCCAUAACUGACACUGAGAGACGACAGCUAGGGGAGCAAAUGGGAUUAGAUACCCCAAUAGUCCUAGCCGUAAACGAUGGAUACUAGAUGUUGCACGUAUUAACCCGUGCAGUAUCGUAGCUAAGGCGUUAAGUAUCCCGCCUGGGAAGUACGCUCGCAAGAGUGAAACUCAAAUGAAUUGACGG
rnacentral:rRNA from 1 species